ACGCUCGACACCUACGGGAGGUAGCAGUGGGGAAUAUUGCACAAUGGGGGAAACCCUGAUGCAGCGACGCCGCGUGAAGGAAGAAGUAUCUCGGUAUGUAAACUUCUAUCAGCAGGGAAGAAAAUGACGGUACCUGACUAAGAAGCCCCGGCUAACUACGUGCCAACAGCCGCGGUAAUCUGAGCGGGCUGGCAAGGC
rnacentral:rRNA from 1 species